AGGUGAGAAAUGACAGCAUUUUACCAGUUACUGAAAUCAUGCCGUUCUAGUGUUUUCUAUUUCAGAGAAAAUGUAUGUUUACUUAUUAGAGUGUUAGGUGAAUUUGGAUGUGAAUAGCCAUAAUCAUGGAGUUGUGUGGGAUAGUAGUAACCUUGAUGUUUUUCCACAUGAAUAGGGAAGAGGUGAUUGUGUGUCUGUCUUCGGCAUACACCUUGAAGGACUGCAACAAUCCAGGAAGAGUUGACGGGUCCUGCGCUGAUGGCAAUGAACAAGAUGAUGUGCAGUGGCCUAGUAGAAGAGGAGACACAUUUUUCACGAAGUGUUUUUUAAUUACCAUCAAGUGAUCAAGGUAAAUUUCCACAUGGUCAUUGAUGGGACUUAGUUUAUAUUCAGGUAUUCACAUCAAAGAUGAUACUGUCCAUUACCAGUUAACAAGUUGUAUCCUGCCACUUGCUUGUUAUAAGAUUCUAGCAGUCCUGACACCACAGUGGUAGACAGUGGUCGUCAGUAGGAACUUUCCGGUAACCAGCUAUGUGAUA